UGAAACCUCACGAGAAGUAACCAAUCCGGGCGCGUGCCAGUUGUGGUCAAUGGCCGCCCUUUCCAGUUAACUAGGUCGACCCCUUUUAAGCCUGGGUCUCAGCAUCGCUCCGCGGAGAAGCGCCCGCUGCGCAGGCUGGCUCUUUUCGGCCGCAGAAGUUCCGGGUCCGCCUCUGGCCGCUCCGCAGUUUUAACUGCCUUCGCCUUUACUUUGCAGCCACCAGAGUUACCGCCACCACCGGUUUUCGUUUGUUCAGGAAAUCAGCGGGCUCCCUCACUGUUACUUUCUUCCUGCACGUGUAUUCUAGAUCGGACCGCUAGUUGUCCAGCAGAUCCCGAACAGCGUGGGCAGAAAGGUUUUGAGGGAGGAUUCUUCUAAAAGGUUGGUUCCAGCAUCUACUGUUGCUACCGCUACUAGUUCAAGCACCAUGCUGUUUACCUCAUUUUCAAAUGUUUCUACCUCCACUGCUGCUACUGGGCUCUCAUAUACAGUUCCAUUCCUGAGACAUGACUGAGAUUCUGGAAACCUUUUGAUAUAU